rnacentral:rRNA from 1 species
GACGAACGCUGGCGGCGUGCUUAACACAUGCAAGUCGAACGGAAAGGCCCUGCUUUUGUGGGGUGCUCGAGUGGCGAACGGGUGAGUAACACGUGAGUAACCUGCCCCUGACUUUGGGAUAACUUCAGGAAACUGGGGCUAAUACCGGAUAGGAGCUCCUGCUGCAUGGUGGGGGUUGGAAAGUUUCGGCGGUUGGGGAUGGACUCGCGGCUUAUCAGCUUGUUGGUGGGGUAGUGGCUUACCAAGGCUUUGACGGGUAGCCGGCCUGAGAGGGGGACCGGCCACAUUGGGACUGAGAUACGGCCCAGACUCGUACGGGAGGCAGCAGUGGGGAAGAUUGCACAAGGGGCGGGAGCCUGAUGCAGCAACGCCGCGUGCGGGAUGACGGCCUUCGGGUUGUAAACCGCUUUCGCCUGUGACGAAGCGUGAGUGACGGUAAUGGGUAAAGAAGCACCGGCUAACUACGUG